rnacentral:rRNA from 1 species
UACGUAGGGUGCGAGCGUUUGUCCGGAUUUAUUGGGCGUAAAGAGCUCGUAGGCGGUUUGUCGCGUCGGCCGUGAAAUCUCCACGCUUAACGUGGAGCGUGCGGUCGAUACGGGCAGACUUGAGUUCGGUAGGGGAGACUGGAAUUCCUGGUGUAGCGGUGAAAUGCGCAGAUAUCAGGAGGAACACCGGUGGCGAAGGCGGGUCUCUGGGCCGAUACUGACGCUGAGGAGCGAAAGCGUGGGGAGCGAACAGG